GACGAACGCUGGCGGCGUGCUUAACACAUGCAAGUCGAACGGAAAGGCCCUGCUUUUGUGGGGUGCUCGAGUGGCGAACGGGUGAGUAACACGUGAGUAACCUGCCCUUGACUUUGGGAUAACUUCAGGAAACUGGGGCUAAUACCGGAUAGGAGCUCCUGCUGCAUGGUGGGGGUUGGAAAGUUUCGGCGGUUGGGGAUGGACUCGCGGCUUAUCAGCUUGUUGGUGGGGUAGUGGCUUACCAAGGCUUUGACGGGUAGCCGGCCUGAGAGGGUGACCGGCCACAUUGGGACGGAGAUACGGCCCAGACUCCUACGGGAGGCAGCAGUGGGGAAUAUUGCACAAUGGGCGGAAGGCUGAUGCAGCAACGCCGCGUGCGGGAUGACGGCCUUCGGGUGGGAAACCGCUUUCGCCUGUGACGAAGCGUGAGUGACGGUAAUGGGUAAAGAAGCACCGGCUAACUACGUG
rnacentral:rRNA from 1 species